rnacentral:rRNA from 15 species
UAGGUCCGAAAUCUUGCACGCGAAUUCGAGCGUCCAUAUCUUGACUGUAAAAAAAC